CUGGGUAGUAGUAACCAGCAGGCACAGCUAGCACACAGCAUUGUACAGGUGAGGAUACUGGGUAGUAGUAACCAGCAGGCACAGCUAGCACACAACAUUGUACAGGUAGGGAUACUGGGUAGUAGUAACCAGCAGGCACAGCUAGCACACAACAUUGUACAGGUGAGGAUACUGGGUAGUAGUAACCAGC